GGGGAGUUAGCUCAGUGGUCCCACCACCUGCCUCCCAAGUAGAAGGUCCAGAGUUCGAACUCUGAUACCCCC
rnacentral:tRNA from 1 species